CACCUGGGGAUCUUGUUAAAAUGCAGAUUUUGAUUAAGUCUUGCAGCCUAAGAUUCUGCAUUUCUAACAAGCUCCCUAAGGAU
rnacentral:miRNA from 1 species